rnacentral:rRNA from 1 species
CAGCCGCGGGAAUACGAAGGGUGCAAGCGUUACUCGGAAUUACUGGGCGUAAAGCGUGCGUAGGUGGUGGUUUAAGUCCGUUGUGAAAGCCCUGGGCUCAACCUGGGAAUUGCAGUGGAUACUGGGUCACUAGAGUGUGGUAGAGGAUAGUGGAAUUUCCGGUGUAGCAGUGAAAUGCGUAGAGAUCGGAAGGAACAUCUGUGGCGAAGGCGACUAUCUGGGCCAACACUGACACUGAGGCACGAAAGCGUGGGGAGCAAACAGGAUUAGAUACCCCCGUAGUCCCUGUCUCUUAUACACC